rnacentral:rRNA from 1 species
AUUGAACGCUGGCGGCAGGCCUAACACAUGCAAGUCGAACGAGUGGCGGACGGGUGAGUAAUGUCUGGGAAACUGCCUGUUGGAGGGGGAUAACUACUGGAAACGGUAGCUAAUACCGCAUACCAUCAGAUGUGCCCAGAUGGGAUUAGCUAGUAGGUGGGGUAACGGCGCACCUAGGCGACGAACCCUAGCUGGUCUGAGAGGAUGACCAUCCACACUGGGACUGAGACACGGUCCAGACACCUACGGGAGGCAGCAGUGGGGAAUAUUGCACAAUGGGCACAAGCCUGAUGCAGCCAUGCCGCGUGUAUGAAGAAGGCCUUCGGAUUGUAAAGUACUUUCAGCGGGGAGGCGUUACCCGCAGAAGAAGCACCGGCUAACUCCGUGCCAGCCGCCGCGGUAAUUC